GUGCCGCCCUUCAGCCGCGUGAAAAACGAGGUUUCUCUUAGCGCAAGUACGGUGCAAGUGAGGGCGUGCUCACACAGCGUUCAGCGCUCACAGGGAAAGGAACCUGUGGGGGAAUACAGUUUUUCCACGGGUGUUUAUGUGACUGCCCUGCCGAGAGGGGACAGAGGCUUCGAGUAAAGCUGUCAACAUGGCUGCUUUCAUAGCACCGUUAAAUCACUGAGACUUAAAUGAUUUUAGGUACGGGUCAUUCCUCAGACAGGAAGAAGUUUGACAUCUCUGACUCAAAAAGUCACUUGGAAAUUGGCAAAGUAGGUCAUUUAGUAGUGGACCUAUUGCACGAAUCAGAAAGUUGGCAGAGGUCACUUACCAUUCCUAAGCUGGAUUUGCUCUUGAUUUUUUUUCUGGUAUUCUCUACGUCUGCAGAAUUGCCUAUUGAACCAACUUCUAUUAACAACAAAAGUAAAAACUACUCCUAAAACAACUAGCUGUAAUCACCAUUUUAAAGAACAGUUAUAGCUGUUUCUGCAUAUUUUAAAAAUAUAAUUAUACAGCAGAAAUUCUUAAAAAUGAAAGGUCUUUUGGUGUGCUGUGUAAGUGGGCUUAUUUUUAAUUAGCUAGAAAAGCUAGUAAUUUCUUGAGUAGUUUGCUGUUACAUAAAUGAAUUAAAGCAAAUGCUAAAUCACCUGCUCAAGCUUUACUGACCUCUUAGUGAUUAUUAAAUAAUUAUAAUUGAUCAUUAAUAGCCUGAAACAGUAGUUUCAUGCUAAAACAGCAUGUAAAAUACUGUAUUUCUAGCAAACUUUAAUUUUAAAUAGCUCUAGUGUUUUAAUCAUUUAGUUGAAACUCUAAUUUUCUGGGAGAUGAAAUGAUCUCCUAACCAUGUUGUGAAGAUUUCUUACAUCUGUUUCAGAUGAGUCAAAAUCAAGUACUGAAUAGUGAAGUAACAUUUGACUGUUUAAUUAGCAAUAAUAAAUAAAGACAAAUAGGUCAAUAAUUUUAACUUCACUAUAAUGUGCUUCCAUGUGUCAGAAUAAGAAACUAGGUGUUGCUGUAAUUUUAUUUUUCUAUGAAGGUUUGACACAAAUAAAUGUUAAAUAUAUCUAAAAUAAAUUCCCCUUUUUAGAUUUUGUAUGUCUAAUUUUAUAGGGUUUAAAUAGUCAAGUAGU